GUAGGUGGCAAGCGUUGUCCGGAUUUAUUGGGUUUAAAGGGUGCGUAGGCGGCCUUAUAAGUCAGUGGUGAAAUACUCUAGCUUAACUAGAGGGGUGCCAUUGAUACUGCAAGGCUUGAGUGGAGUCGAGGUAGGCGGAAUUGACGGUGUAGCGGUGAAAUGCUUAGAUAUCGUCAAGAACACCGAUAGUGUAGACAGCUUACUAGGCUUCUACUGACGCUGAGGCACGAAAGUGUGGGGAUCAAACAGGAUUAGAUACCCUGGUAGUCCACACUGUAAACGUUGAUAACUCGCUGUUGGCGAUACACAGUCAGCGGCUAAGCGCAAGCGAUAAGUUAUCCACCUGGGGAGUACGCCGGCAACGGUGAA
rnacentral:rRNA from 1 species